rnacentral:rRNA from 1 species
AUUAGACCUCAGAUCAGGCAGGAUUACCCGCUGAACUUAAGCAUAUCAAUAAGCGGAGGAAAAGAAACUAACAAGGAUUCCCCUAGUAACGGCGAGUGAAGCGGGAAGAGCUCAAAUUUGUAAUCUGGCCCUUUCAGGGUCCGAGUUGUAAUCUCGAGAAGUGUUUUCCGCGUCGGACUGCAUACAAGUCUAUUGGAAUAUAGCGUCAUAGUGGUGAGAGCCCCGUAACUGAUGCAGAUGCCCGAUGCUUUGUGAUACACUUUCGAAGAGUCGAGUUGUUUGGGAAUGCAGCUCAAAUUGGGUGGUAAAUUCCAUCUAAAGCUAAAUAUUGGCGAGAGACCGAUAGCGAACAAGUACCGUGAGGGAAAGAUGAAAAGCACUUUGGAAAGAGAGUUAACAGUACGUGAAAUUGUUGGAAGGGAAACGCUUGAAAUCAGACUUGCUAUUCGGAAUUCAGCCGCAAGGUGUACUUUUCGAUUUGCAGGCCAGCAUCAGUUUUUGGGGGUGGAAAAGGGUGGAGAGAAGGUAGCAACCCCGGUUGUGUUAUAGCUCUUCACUGGAUUCAUCUUUGGGGACUGAGGAUCGCAGUGCGCAUUUAUUUGCAAACCUCUCGAGGUUUUCGUACUUAGGAU